CUAAAGCUGGCCUCUUGAUCUCAUUCAGAUUCCAAAGAGAAUCAUUUACAAGUUAAUUUCUGUCUCCUUGGUCCAUUCCUUCUCUCUAAUAAUCAUUUACUGUUCCUCAAAGAAUUGUCUACAUUACCCAUCUCCUCUUUUGCCUCUGAGAAAGAGUAUAUAAGCUUCUGUACCCCACUGGGGGGUUGGGGUAAUAUUCUGUGGUCCUCAGCCCUGUACCUUAAUAAAUUUGUAUGCCUUUUCUCUUA
rnacentral:lncRNA from 1 species